rnacentral:misc_RNA from 1 species
CAGCCGCGUAAUUCCAGCUCCAAUAGCGUAUAUUAAAGUUGUUGCAGUUAAAAAGCUCGUAGUUGAAUUUCGGGAUUGACGUGACGGUCAUGCCUUAAGGGGUAUGAACUGUUACAGUUGAUUUCUCACCUUCUGGAGAAACUUGAUGUCCUUUAUUGGGUGUCUUGCGGAUCCAGGACCUUUACCUUGAAAAAAUUAGAGUGUUUAAAGCAGGCAUUUUUGCUCGAAUACAUUAGCAUGGAAUAAUAGAAUAGGACGGCAUGGUUCUAUUUUGUUGGUUUCUAGGAUCACCGUAAUGAUUAAUAGGGAUAGUUGGGGGCAUUAGUAUUCAAUUGUCAGAGGUGAAAUUCUUGGAUUUAUUGAAGACUAACUACUGCGAAAGCAUUUGCCAAGGAUGUUUUCAUUAAUCAAGAACGAAAGUUAGGGGAUCGAAGACGAUCAGAUACCGUCGUAGUCUUAACCAUAAACUAUGCCGACUAGGAAUCAGACGAUGUUAAUUUUUUAAUGACUCGUUUGGCACCUUACG